UAUAAUAAGAGACCCAACCUAGUAAACUUACAAUAAACAUGCUCUAAAAGCAUCUCAAAAACUCAAAAUAAUAAUACAAUUUUAGGGUAAAAAUCAUAUUAUUUUAAUGAUACAUUAACAUUAAAGAAUUUCAUUCUCCAGUCACAACACCAUCAACCACCUUCUAUCAUGUUUACCAAUUGGUCUGAUUUGCUAUCUUGGAUUCAAUAAACUAGAACCUAAGAAUACCUCCAAUGGAGUUUUUAAAGAGAGGUUCUUUAAAAAAAAUCCAAAAAAAAAAUAAAAAAGAAACAAAAAGCUAAGAACCAAGUUCUUAAAAUAGAGUUUUUAGAAUUGGUAAGAAUCUCUAAGAUGUCCUUUUCUUAUCGGCUCGUUUUGUGUUUGUGUGUCUCCUCUCUCUUCCUUGCUUUUUCUCUUUAUGUGUUGUCUCUUUUUCUCUUAAUAAUUUUAAAAGGGUUCUACCAUUGAACAUGACAAAUUACAAAGUUUACAAUUAAAUUAAACAUUAUAACCCAUGAUGGGUUCACUCUUCUGCAAAUUAGCCUCGCGAAAAGUUGUAUCACCUGUGGAAGCAAACAAACAAACAAUUAUGUCCACAAUCAAACUUCCUUCCAGAUUCAUCGGUCUUUCGUGGCAUUGAUUGAGAAAUGAAGAACAUUAUUUGGCCAGAAGAACAUUAUUCGGCCAUAAGAAACCGAAAACACUUACAGUCGGUUAUGUCUUUGCGGCUG
rnacentral:lncRNA from 1 species